AUUGAACGCUGGCGGCAUGCCUUACACAUGCAAGUCGAACGGCAGCACGGGAGCAAUCCUGGUGGCGAGUGGCGAACGGGUGAGUAAUAUAUCGGAACGUGCCCAGUCGUGGGGGAUAACGUAGCGAAAGCUACGCUAAUACCGCAUACGAUCUAUGGAUGAAAGCGGGGGAUCGCAAGACCUCGCGCGAUUGGAGCGGCCGAUAUCAGAUUAGGUAGUUGGUGAGGUAAAGGCUCACCAAGCCGACGAUCUGUAGCUGGUCUGAGAGGACGGACCAGCCACACUGGGACUGAGACACGGCCCAGACUCCUACGGGAGGCAGCAGUGGGGAAUUUUUGGGACAAUGGGCGCAAGCCUGAUCCAGCAAUGCCGCGUGCAGGAUGAAGGCCUUCGGGUUG
rnacentral:rRNA from 1 species